GACGAAGGGGGCUAGCGUUGUUCGGAAUUACUGGGCGUAAAGCGUGCGUAGACGGUUGCGUAAGUCAGAUGUGAAAGCCCCGGGCUCAACCUGGGAAUUGCAUUUGAGACUGCGUAGCUAGGGUGCGGAAGAGGGAAGCGGAAUUUCCGGUGUAGCGGUGAAAUGCGUAGAUAUCGGAAGGAACACCAGUGGCGAAAGCGGCUUCCUGGUCCAGCACCGACGUUCAGGCACGAAAGCGUGGGGAGCAAACGGG
rnacentral:rRNA from 1 species